UCUUUUGACAGCCCGUACUGUUCAACAUCAUGGCUCGAAUGCGAACUUCCCGCAAACAUCACAUUGCCAUGCGCCAGUACAUGAGACGUAUGGCGCGCCGGAUGGCCUCGUCGAGGCGUCCGAGGAACCGCAUGUCAACUACAGCAGGCAGGGAGAGGCAUGGCGGCUCCUUUCUAGACAUGGCCACCAUGCUGGUGCGGUUUAGCUGCGUUGCACUGGUGCUGCCGUUCCGCAUCCUUUCCCGUGGGAUGCGCAUUGUCACAGCCAUGCUGUCAUCUCUGAAGACAAUGCUUUUCAUUUGAGUGCAACCUGGAACCAAGACUGCUGACGACAUCUAAGGGUCUCACCCGCCUGCAACCUUGAAAAGGACAAAAUCGAGCCUGUUUUAGAAUUUACCGAUCAUGACACUUUUAACCUCACAGUACAUCGGCAUCACGUCACGCAUUCAAGCAGUCUUGUGGACCUUAUGAAGCAAUAAACACCAUUUCAUGGGAA